GACGAACGCUGGCGGCGUGCUUAACACAUGCAAGUCGAACGGAAAGGCCCUGCUUUUGUGGGGUGCUCGAGUGGCGAACGGGUGAGUAACACGUGAGUAACCUGCCCUUGACUUUGGGAUAACUUCAGGAAACUGGGGCUAAUACCGGAUAGGAGCUCCUGCUGCAUGGUGGGGGUUGGAAAGUUUCGGCGGUUGGGGAUGGACUCGCGGCUUAUCAGCUUGUUGGUGGGGUAGUGGCUUACCAAGGCUUUGACGGGUAGCCGGCCUGAGAGGGGGACCGGCCACAAUGGAACUGAGACACGGUCCAGACUACUACGGGAGGCAGCAGUAGGGAAUCUGCCGCAAGGGGCGAAAGCCUGACGGAGCAACGCUGCGGGAGUGAUGAAGGUCUUCGGAUCGUAAAACUCGGUUAUUAGGGAAGAACAAAUGUGUAAGUAACUAUGCACGUCUUGACGGUACCUAAUAAGAAAGCCACGGCUAACUACGUG
rnacentral:rRNA from 1 species